CUCGGGGUCAGGGGGACCCUCAGCCUGGAUUGUAAGAGGGCGCAGGCCAGGCUGAGGGACCCCACCAUGCACG
rnacentral:pre_miRNA from 1 species